GCCUAACAUCUAGCCCACCCCCCUCGCAUGACACCUCCCUCCCUUCCCCACCCCCCCCCAAAACAUUCUAGCCCCCCCCCCCCCCCCCAAAACAUUUUACCUCUUUAGUACAGGCGAUCGAAAAACUUAUAAGCGCUUCAGAUUAAGUACCGCAAGGGAAUGAUGAAAUAAAAAUGAAAUAACUUUAAAGCCCUAAACAGCAGAGACACCCCCUCGUACCUUUUGCAUCAUGGUCUAGCUAGUCUAACCAAGCAAAAUGAGAACUUUAGUUUGACAUCCCGAAACUAAGUGAGCUACUUCAAAACAGCCUUAAGGGGCCAACCCGUCUCUGUUGCAAAAGAGUGGGAAGAUUUUCAAGUAGAGGUGACAAGCCUACCGAACCUAGAGAUAGCUGGUUAUUCAGGAAAAGAGUUUUAGCUCUGCUUUAAGUCUUCUUAUUAAUCUAAACAAAAUUUUAAACUUAAAAGUUACUCAAGUAAGGUUCAGCUUACUUGAAACAGGAUACAACCUUAAAUAUUGGGUAAAUAAGGGAAACUCAGACAAAGUGGGCCUAAAAGCAGCCACCUUAUAAAAAGCGUUAAAGCUUAAUCACUAACCUACCCAUAAUUCCUCAAAUCCUUAUAAACCCCUCACCCCUACUGAAUCAUUUUAUAUUAUUAUAAAAACUAUUAUGCUAGAACUAGUAACAAGAAACCGCCUUUCUCCUUAAUGUAAGCCAGAACCGAAAUAAACCCUAUCGGUAUUUAACGUUCAUGCCUUAAUAAUAGCAACAUACAACUAGAAAAUCCUAUUAACCCCAACGUCAACCUUACACUAGAACAUUACAGGAAAGAUUAAAAGAAAGAGAAGGAACUCGGCAAACCACAGCCCCGCCUGUUUACCAAAAACAUCGCCUCUUGCCCCCCAUAAGAGGUCCAGCCUGCCCAGUGACAUAGUUCAACGGCCGCGGUAUCCUAACCGUGCGAAGGUAGCAUAAUCACUUGUUCUCUAAAUAGGGACUAGUAUCAACGGCACCACGAGGGCUGUACUGUCUCCUCCUUCCAAUCAGUGAAACUGAUCUCCCCGUGAAGAAGCGGGGAUUUACAUAUUAGACGAGAAGACCCCAUGGAGCUUAAAAUUCAAUGUACACCUCCACCCUUAAAAUCAAUAUAACCAUAGACACCUGUACAUAAAUUUUGGGUUGGGGUGACCACGGAGUAUAACAUAACCUCCUUGACAAACGGGCCAACGCCCUUAUCUACGAAUUACCACUCUAAGAAUCAAUAAUUUGAUGUUUAAUGACCCGAUUACUCGAUCAACGAACCAAGUUACCCUGGGGAUAACAGCGCAAUCUACUUCAAGAGUCCCUAUCGACAAGUAGGCUUACGACCUCGAUGUUGGAUCAGGGUAUCCUAGUGGUGCAGCCG
rnacentral:rRNA from 1 species